AACGUAGGAGGCGAGCGUUAUCCGGAGUUACUGGGCGUAAAGAGCGUGUAGGCGGGUACGCAAGUUUGGCGUGAAAGCUCCCGGCUAAACUGGGAGAGUGCGCUGAAGACUGCGUGUCUAGAGGCGAGUAGAGGGACGUGGAAUUCCGGGUGUAGUGGUGAAAUGCGUAGAUAUCAGGAGGAACACCGGUGGUGUAGACGGCUUUCUGGACCGUAACUGACGCUGAGACACGAAAGCGUGGGUAGCAAACAGG
rnacentral:rRNA from 1 species